rnacentral:rRNA from 1 species
GAUCAUUAUCGUACAACCGAGGUGCGAGGGCUGUCGCUGACUUUUGUCGUGCACGCCCGAGUGCUCUCACACAAUCCAUCUCACCCCUAUGUGCACCACCGCGUGGGUCCCUCUUUGGCUCGCUCCGAGGGGGGGCUCGCGUUUUCACACAAACUUGAAGCAGUGUCGAAUGUCUUUUUUUAUUUUUGCGAUGACACGCAAUCAAUACAACUUUCAACAACGGAUCUCUUGGCUCUCGCAUCGAUGAAGAACGCAGCGAAAUGCGAUACGUAAUGUGAAUUGCAGAAUUCAGUGAAUCAUCGAAUCUUUGAACGCACCUUGCGCCCCUUGGCAUUCCGAGGGGCACACCCGUUUGAGUGUCGUGAAAUUCUCAAAAACCCCUUCCUUUGGUGGAGAGGAUUUUGGACUUGGAGGUCUUUUGCUGGUUUCACCUUGAAGCGAGCUCCUCCCAAAUGGAUUAGUGGGGUCUGCUUUGCCGAUCCUUGACGUGAUAAUAUGUUUCUACGUCUUGGGUUUCUGCACUGUACCUCUGCUUCUAACCGUCUCAUUGACAACGAUGGUGUUCCGGUCACCGCCGAUUCAUCGGUGGGAGGCUUGACCCACAAAA